rnacentral:lncRNA from 1 species
ACGGAACAGGCAAAGGCCACGGUUGGUACUGUAACUACGUGGAGGUCACCGUCACCGGAGUCCAUAAAGCAUGCAACCAACAGAAUUUCGAAGUGGAGCAGUGGCUAGCUACUGAUGCUUCGCCGUAUGAGCUUACGGCCAUUAGAGACAACUGUAAUGCUACUGAUGCGUCGCCUUAUGAGCUUACGGCCAUUAGAGACAACUGUAAGAAGUCCAAGUCCGAUGAGAAACUGUCCAUCUCCGGCGAGAACUUGUCCGUUGCUGAUACUGAAUCCGUUCCUGAUGUCGCUGUAAUUUAAUUCAUCAUUUAUUGAUCUUUAUUGGGCCUGAGCCAACAUUUUAUAGAUUUACGAUUAGUCUGUUGAUACGGGUCAACGUUGCUAUGUUGUGGUUUGAGUAUUAGAAAAGACAAUGCAGUAAAUAUGUGUGUUGAAUAAUACCACCCCCCACCCCCAUGUCAUGAGUAGGACACUUUAUUAGAAAAAGAAGAGCUUGUCUCUUCAUUAUUGUUUAUGCUAUGCUUUCACGUGGGGAAUAAAAUUAUCACGAGUGUCUAGAUUUUAUCUGCCUUAACUAAAGACAAGUGAAGUGGUGACAAUGGUUAGGAAGGUCAAGGUUUAUAAUGCUGAAGGUAUAUGUUUGUGCCCAAAAUAUAUA